CGCUCCGGCGGCGAAGGAUGUGGCUGCGGCCGAUUAGGUAGACGGUGGGGUAACGGCCCACCGUGCCAAUAAUUCGUACGGGUCAUGAGAGUGAGAACCCAGAGACGGAAUCUGAGACAAGAUUGCGGGGCCUACGGGGCGCAGCAGGCGCGAAACCUUUACACUGCACGACACUGGGUUACGGGGAUCCCAAGUGCACAGGCAUAGUGCUUGUGCUUUUCGGUACGGUAAGGUGGUACCGGGAUAAGGGCUCGGCAAGACCCGUGCCAGCCGCCGCGGUAAUACCGCCAGCCCAAGUGAUUGCAGAUCUUAUUAGGCCUAAAGCGUCCGUAGCUGGCAGCGCAAGUCCAUCGGGAAAUCCACCUGCUCAACAGGUGGGCGCCCGGUAGAAACUGCGUGGCUUGGGACCGGAAGGCGCGACGUGUACGUCCGGGGUAGGAGUGAAAUCCCGUAAUCCUGGACGGACCGCCGAUGGCGAAAGCACGUCGCGAGAACGGAUCCGACAGUGAGGGACGAAAGCCAGGGUCUCGAACCGGAUUAGAUACCCGGGUAGUCCUGGCCGUAAACAAUGUCUGCUAGGUGUGGCUCCCACUACGAGUGGGUGCUGUGCCGUAGGGAAGCCGCUAAGCAGACCGCCUGGGAAGUACGUCCGCAAGGAUGAAACUUAAAGGAAUUGGCGGGGGAGCACUACAACCGGAGGAGCCUGCGGUUUAAUUGGACUCAACGCCGGACAUCUCACCAGCAUCGACUGUAAUAAUGACGACCAGGUUGAUGACCUUGUCCGAGUUUCAGAGAGGAGGUGCAUGGCCGCCGUCAGCUCGUACCGUGAGGCGUCCUGUUAAGUCAGGCAACGAGCGAGACCCGCACCCUUACUUGCCAGCAGUACCGCGAGGUAGCUGGGGACAGUAGGGGGACCGCCGUGGCUAACACGGAGGAAGGAACGGGCAACGGUAGGUCAGUAUGCCCCGAAUGUGCUGGGCAACACGCGGGCUACAAUGGUCGAGACAAAGGGUUCCAACUCCGAAAGGAGACGGUAAUCUCAGAAACUCGAUCGUAGUUCGGAUUGUGGGCUGCAACUCGCCCACAUGAAGCUGGAUUCGGUAGUAAUCGCGUGUCACAAGCGCGCGGUGAAUACGUCCCUGCUCCUUGCACACACCGCCCGUCAAAGCACCCGAGUGAGGUCCGGAUGAGGC
rnacentral:rRNA from 1 species